rnacentral:rRNA from 1 species
AGAACGAACGCUGGCGGCAUGCCUAACACAUGCAAGUCGAACGAGACCUUCGGGUCUAGUGGCGCACGGGUGCGUAACGCGUGGGAAUCUGCCCUUAGGUUCGGAAUAACUCAGGGAAACUUGAGCUAAUACCGGAUGAUGUCGCAAGACCAAAGAUUUAUCGCCUAAGGAUGAGCCCGCGUAGGAUUAGCUUGUUGGUGAGGUAAAGGCUCACCAAGGCUACGAUCCUUAGCUGGUCUGAGAGGAUGAUCAGCCACACUGGGACUGAGACACGGCCCAGACUCCUACGGGAGGCAGCAGUGGGGAAUAUUGGACAAUGGGCGCAAGCCUGAUCCAGCCAUGCCGCGUGAGUGAUGAAGGCCUUAGGGUUGUAAAGCUCUUUCAGUAGGGAAGAUAAUGACGGUACCUACAGAAGAAGCCCGGCUAACUUCGCGCCAGCAGCCGC